GGAUUUGUAUGAAUCAUUUCUAUUGCUGCCACCCCUUAAAGGAACCCAUACAUGCAGUCUGCCUUCAAACCUAGAAACCACUUUAUCAGCCUAGACAUAACAUGCUUGGACAAAGUACAUAUCAUUUCUGUUCUUAAGGAGCUUAUAUACUUGUGGUCCUAAGUGUUAUGGAAAGGAACAAAGCAAAAGAAAAGGAAAAGGAGGUAUUGGAGAGUGGGAGGCCUUUCUAAGGAGGCGAUAAAGGAAAAUUUGUGAGAAGAACAGUUAGGAAAAAGGAACAACAACCAUUGCACAGGUUGUAAGUCAGAAGCGUAGUCAGAGUAUAUACUGAUAGAUUCGCAAGGAUAACAGAAAGCGGUAAGCAAGAGGAAGAAUGGUAGGAAAUAAAGUCAUAUCAUGUAAGGCCUUAUAAGCCAUGGUUAAGAUUUUAAGCAAAUCAAUGUUAGAACAUUUGCUUAUUUAAAUGGGUAUUGUUUUAAAGAAAAGAUACUGCAUAUAGCAAGUACAUGUCUUCUGAAAUUAUUGUGAAAAUUUUUAAUAAAAAACACCAUUGUCAGGUUUUUCCACUUGUACUGAGGAUAAAAUGGCUUGUACAAAUUAUUGUUGUAUGAUAUUUCUUACAUGAUUGCAAAUAUACAUAUAUGUGGUCCAACUGAAAUAACAUUUGAAAAUUGGUUUUGAAAUUUAUUUGACAGAGAGAAGCCCAUCUGGAAGUGCCUUUGGAAGUCAAGAAAAUUUGAGGUGGAGAAAAGAUAUGACUCACUGGCGUCAAAACACAGAGAAGCUUGACAAAUCAAGAGCAGAGAUUGAACACGAAGCACUGAUUGAUGGAAACCUGGCUACAGAAGCAAACCUAAUCAUUUUAGAUACAUUAGAGAUUGUUGUUCAGACCGUUUCUGUAACGGAAUCCAAAGAGAGCAUUCUUGGUGGAGUGCUAAAAGUGCUACUACACAGCAUGGCCUGUAACCAAAGUGCAGUUUAUCUACAACACUGUUUUGCUACACAGAGAGCCUUGGUUUCAAAGUUUCCUGAACUCUUAUUUGAAGAAGAGACAGAGCAGUGUGCUGAUUUAUGCCUCAGGCUUCUCCGACACUGUAGCAGUAGCAUCGGUACAAUACGGUCACACGCCAGUGCCUCCCUUUACCUACUAAUGAGGCAAAACUUUGAGAUUGGGAAUAACUUUGCCAGGGUUAAAAUGCAGGUAACAAUGUCGCUAUCCUCCUUGGUGGGCACAUCUCAGAAUUUUAAUGAAGAAUUCUUAAGACGUUCUCUAAAGACUAUAUUGACAUAUGCUGAAGAAGAUCUGGAAUUGAGGGAAACAACAUUUCCUGAUCAGGUCCAGGAUCUGGUUUUCAAUCUCCAUAUGAUUCUUUCUGAUACUGUGAAAAUGAAGGAACACCAGGAGGAUCCUGAAAUGUUGAUUGAUCUAAUGUACAGAAUUGCCAAGGGUUACCAGACCUCUCCAGAUCUGCGAUUGACCUGGUUGCAGAACAUGGCAGGCAAGCACUCAGAACGAAGCAAUCAUGCUGAAGCUGCACAGUGUCUAGUCCACUCAGCAGCACUUGUUGCUGAAUAUUUGAGCAUGCUGGAGGACCGGAAAUAUCUUCCUGUGGGAUGUGUAACAUUUCAGAAUAUUUCAUCUAAUGUUUUAGAAGAAUCUGCGGUCUCAGAUGAUGUGGUAUCUCCAGAUGAAGAAGGUAUCUGCUCUGGAAAAUACUUUACUGAGUCAGGACUUGUGGGAUUACUGGAACAAGCAGCUGCUUCCUUCUCUAUGGCUGGCAUGUAUGAAGCAGUUAAUGAGGUUUACAAAGUACUUAUUCCUAUUCAUGAAGCUAAUCGGGAUGCAAAGAAACUAUCCACAAUUCAUGGUAAACUUCAAGAAGCAUUCAGCAAAAUUGUUCAUCAGGUAAUGAUUCCAAUUUCUAGCUUCACUAUAAAGGGAAAAAACUGUCUGAAAGCAUUAAUGUUGUUUUGCACUGAUGUCAAACUAGAUCCCGUGAAAUGACCAUUUUAAUCAGACUACAAAUGAGCGGUCAAAAUGAUAGUUCAUGGCCAAAGCAAAGCUCAUUAACAAUAAAAAUGAAUUCACCUAAAGUAAAUGGUGAUCAUCAUAAACUUUCUGCAUAGCUUUUUUUUUUCAUUUUUGAAUUAUUAAUUAGCAAGUUUUUAAAAAUUGUGAUUUUCUGUUUCACAAGGUAGAUCAUAGUUGUGAAUCUCAUUUUAAAAUUGAUACCUAUUCCUUUGCUGUGAAAAUAAAGUUUUUAUAUUUCAGCUUUUUAAAUUAAAUGAUGUGAAACUUUAAUAAACUACUAAUAUUUUUAAUGACUGCAACUGAACUUUAUUUUUCCUAGAUGUUUACAAUCAUCCUUUGAUAUAUUUCUAAUACAAAAAUAUUAUUUUGUGAAAAUAAUGAAUAAAAUGGUUGUCUUAAUGUAUAUUUAAUUCUAAUAGUAUUUCAUUACUUAAUCUUUAUAGUUCAUUAUGGAAUCUACAUAUUAUCACUAAAAUUAGCAUCAAAUUAAACUUAAUUUUAAAAUGAAGUACACUACUAGCAGUUGAUUUCUUUGAAACUAAAUCCUUGGCUUCAUUGAAAUACUGCAAAAUAUCCUAUCGAGUCUCCUCCUCCUCCACUUUUCUGUUCCCUUCCCCGUGCUACCCUACUGUUACCUACUGCUGCCAGUGUCAAAGGAGGUGGAGUAUGACUAUCCACUUUUGUAUUCAGUAUUAGUCCUACUUUGUUACCUAUCAGCUUGACCUCUUCUUUUUUGCAAUGAAUUAAGCUGUUCUAAAUGAACUGAUUAAUCUGAAAAGCCUUUGACAGUCUAAAAAUAGGGCUGCUAUCCUGUUAAGUCAGGAUUUUAUUGUCAUCUAUUAAAAUGUUAAAGUUGAAAAAUACUGAUUAGGUUUCAUGACCAUGACAGGUAGGUCUUUUAAUAAUCAGUUGUAUAUAUACUAUCACAGGAACCUCAAGCCAGUUUCUAGAGCUGUAAAUUGCAAAUUAUAAAUGUUAGGUCUGGAACAUUUAGAGCUAGUCGUUUCUGAGAAACUUUUAGCCAUUUGUGUUGUUGGCAUUUGAGCAGAGUUGCAGUUUGUAUUUUAAUUUAUCCUAGAUACUUGGUGAAGUGCAGCUCACCUUAGUUAGAGAUCUUACUUAAACAUGUAAAUGGAACAAGCUGCUGGCUCUCUUUCCCUAAAAUUUGUACUUUCACUUAAAGUUUUUAAAAGGCAAAAUUUUAGCCACUGGGUUUUGACCAAGCAAUUUAUGAAAUUAUUGCAGGUCUUAAGUAAAUGAAUAUGCUGUUUAAAAUAUCCUGCUGUCUUCUAUUUGUGGAGAAGAAUUUAUGGUAUAUGGUGCCUUUGGCCUUUUUUGUUCUUUUAAACAGUUUUUUUAUGACUUGCCCUUUUUUACUUUUUAUUAUACAGAGUACUGGCUGGGAGGUAGGUAAUGUUUUAGUUAGUUAAAGACACUAAUAGAUUGAUUUUAUCAGAUUUCUUAUGCCAAUGCUUUGCCCACAUGUGCUAGCUGUGGGCAUUCUGUUGCUAUCUGCUAUCAACUGAAUUCAUUAACCAAAGAAAUUUUGUUAAAAUAUUGUAAGUUAUUUUAAGAAAUAUCUUAUUAUGAGGUCGUAGGCAGUGCAUGGAAAUCCAUAUGUUACACUAAUGAGAUUCUUUGGUAAAUGAGCCACUUUGUCAUCACUUUAGUUUUUACCCUUUGAAGCAUUUCUCUCAUCAACAUUUAUACACAGAUUUCUUUUUUUAACCAUAUUGUUUCACCUCAUUUUACAGAGGUCGAUUUAUGUGUUAUUGCUCAGAGGUGUAAAUAAAAAAUACUCUAUUUCAUCUGAUCUCAGAUGGCAUCAAUUACAAAACAUACUAGUAUUUUAUAUGCCUUUAAGAAAGGAAAAAAAAAUCCCUGUGUAUUAAACCAGGAUAUCCUAUUAGUUGAAAGAUGAAUACCAACUACAAAAACAUUAAAAUGUGAGCAAAAAAAGUACAUUUUAGAAUUGAUGAGAUACUGUGUUAAUUUGAUCUUGAGUCACUUCACCUUGACUAUGAGCACUACUGAGGAAAGAAAUUCACUUUUGUCAUUUAAAUUUUGUUGGGGAAAGGGAUAAAGAAAUUAAGAGAACUUAUAAUUUAAUUUGACCUCGUAUUCUGACAGCAUUUGAUAUAUUGUUUGAUAAGACUACACAUGCUUCCUUUUAUGUAGUAGUUAAGACUCACAAAAAGUUAUAUGUAAAUACAAUCUUACCCGAAAAAAAUGCCAGGAAGAAUUGAUUACCAUUAUUUUAAACGUUUCUGCAAAGGAAAUAAUUCUAUAAAAUAUGCCCUAAUUUAUUUUGAUGAGGUAAAGCAAGGUAGUAAUAAGUCAGGUUUAUUUAAAGCUAGGUAUAUUUGUAAAGUUGUGUGCUUUGCCUCUCACUUGUUGUCAGAUUUAUGUUGAUCGAACACUUAGGCUUCUGUUUUUGGGUUUGCAUUGCAAUCCUUGUUUUAAGACCCAAAUAGAAAACCUUGGGAAUAAAUAUUACUACUGAGUUUUUCUCUAUUUCUGAAAUAGUACCCAAGUCUUGUUUUUCUUUAGAUGAAGCCAGUACUUUUAUAAAUCUACCUUAAUUCUCUAGAUUAAAUGUAUAUGACUGUAUUAAUACUCAAAAUAUAAUCCUCAUUCCUAUGGCUCAGUUAAGACAUACAUAAAGAGACUUGCCAUGGUUAUCUAUGAAUGAUAAAACUCCUUAUAAAUUUCCUAACAUUAAAUAGAAUUAGUUGAAAAUUAGGCAUAAAAUAAUAAAUUGAAACCUCUGAGCAGUUUAUUACUAGUUUCCGUGAUGCUAAAUCGACCCCUGAAAGGUAUAAUUUUCACUGGUUAUGACAUUAAUAUCAUUCUGUCAUCAUGUUUAUUGCAUGGUAAAAGUCUCACAGACUUUAUUUUCUUGUUAUAUACUUGUCACUACCUUUUACUGGACCUUUAGCUUUGUAGCUGCUAAAUUUGUUGCACGUUUGUUUUUUGCUUUUCCUUUGUAAAACUUAAAUGGAUGCCUGCAUUUAAAAAAUGUGUUUUCUACCAUUUGCUGCUUAUUUGUUUUGAAAUUUCUGUAAUUAAAAUGCUUUCUGUUUUCUCUUCUCUCUUGUCCCUGGUUGCUGACCCUACUCCCCACUUUUACUAUUGUCUAUUGUGGAUGGUAAGCGGAUGUUUGGCACCUAUUUUCGUGUUGGUUUUUAUGGAACCAAGUUCGGGGAUUUGGAUGAACAAGAAUUUGUUUACAAGGAGCCUGCAAUAACCAAACUUGCAGAGAUAUCUCACAGAUUGGAGGGAUUUUACGGAGAAAGAUUUGGAGAGGAUGUGGUUGAAGUAAUCAAAGACUCUAAUCCUGUAGACAAGUGUAAAUUAGAUCCUAACAAGGCAUAUAUUCAGAUUACCUAUGUGGAGCCAUACUUUGACACAUAUGAGAUGAAGGACAGAAUCACCUAUUUCGACAAAAAUUACAAUCUUCGUCGAUUCAUGUACUGUACACCCUUUACUUUAGAUGGCCGUGCCCAUGGGGAACUUCAUGAACAAUUCAAAAGGAAGACCAUUCUGACUACGUCUCAUGCCUUUCCUUAUAUUAAAACAAGGGUCAAUGUCACUCAUAAAGAAGAGAUCAUCUUAACACCAAUUGAAGUUGCUAUUGAGGACAUGCAGAAAAAGACACAGGAGUUGGCAUUUGCAACACAUCAGGAUCCCGCAGACCCCAAAAUGCUUCAGAUGGUACUCCAGGGAUCUGUAGGCACAACAGUGAAUCAGGGGCCUUUGGAAGUUGCCCAGGUUUUUCUGUCUGAAAUACCUAGUGACCCAAAGCUCUUCAGACAUCAUAAUAAACUGCGACUCUGCUUUAAAGAUUUUACUAAAAGGUGUGAAGAUGCCUUAAGAAAAAAUAAGAGCUUAAUUGGGCCGGAUCAAAAGGAGUAUCAAAGGGAACUGGAGAGAAACUAUCAUCGCCUUAAAGAGGCCCUACAGCCACUGAUCAACAGAAAGAUCCCUCAGUUAUACAAGGCAGUAUUGCCUGUCACCUGCCACAGAGAUUCCUUCAGUCGAAUGAGCCUUCGCAAAAUGGAUCUCUAAACUGAAUGCACUUGUUUUAUUCAUCUGCAAAGAGCCAUGUAUUCAACAUCGAGUGUGAAAAGAUCUAUUGGAAAACAACAUGGAAUGGAAUUCUGGAAAUUAUUAUUCAUUGAAGAAUGCAGUGGCCAAGAAAAUAUCAAAUGUAGAUUGUUAACGCUUGAGAAUCAUGGCUAUGGUUUCUAAUGUUCUGGUAACAAGCUGUUAUCUUUUAAGACAUUUUAAUGACUCAAAGGUACACUAUACAUUUACCAUUAUUUAUACCAUAGCUAAGGUUAAAUUUAUUCACUUUAAGUUCGUAUUUUUUAAUUUAUGUUACCAUUUAUAGAUUCAUUUUGGAACCAUUUUAAAUGUAGUAAUGCUUAUUUUAAAGGUACUAUUAAAUAUGUGAAUGUUUACACUAAU
rnacentral:sRNA from 1 species